CUGUUUCAGGGACACCAGUUCCUCCCAUCAUUAGCAUAUGGGCCAACAUGUUCCCCAACUUCCUACUGGCAAAGAGGCCUGAAUCUUCAAGGCUUUCCAUCUCUGCUCUGCCAGUUUUCUGGUGAACUUGUCUCAGCCAAAUUUUUUAGCCACAAGGAAGUAAUUUUCUCCUAUUUCAACAUUCCAUGCCUCUUCUCAGAAGUCUCUUUGGGUUUCAGUUGGCUUGAAACUGGAGACUUCUGCUUUGAUGUUGAAGUUAAUUUCCUGAUGAGAGAGCCCAGCAGUGUGGACAAUUCCUCCCCAUACCAGGACCCAGCCAGGACCAGCAGUUCCAUUGGGAAGGAGCUGAGGAGCCUGGCAGCAUCUUACAGCCAGGGACCAUCCCACAAUGCCAGCUAGGAGCAGGGUAACCAGGGACAAGUAAGGACAGCCCCAGAACCAUGCACCUGCAGGAGGACAGGGCCAGGCCAGGUCAUGGCUAAGCCCAGUUGAGCAGGGCUCAUGGCUGAGCCAGCCUGUGGGAAGCUGGAGUCCAGAGGCUCCAGGGGUGGCAUGGGGACCUGGGGCAGGUGGGGGAUCCCUGGGCAGGCUCAGCAGGGACAAACAGGGCUGUCAGAGCCUUUCAAUAUCCAGCACCUGCUAUAAAGUCUAAUAAUACAUGACUCUUUUCAAUAAAAGUCACUUAGGAUUUCUUAAAGCUUUUUGA
rnacentral:lncRNA from 1 species